GGAGCUUUCCCUGGGGAUCAGCCCGCGUGCUUACGUGCGAACGCAGGAGGAUUCGGCAGCUGGAGCCUCUGAAGGUUUCAUGCUUGAGAGCCAGGGGCCUGAUUCUGCUGCUGUCUCACCCAGAACCUGGUGUUUUCCAGAGGAUGAAGGUGGCUUCUUGCUAGCAAGCAAUGGGAUGAAAGGGGGAGCAAGCCCAACCACAAACGCACGCGUGCAUCCAUCAGCGUUAAGCGUUCCUUGUUUUUAACCUCAAUCAGCUUGAGGAUUACAGCGUCCAAAAGGAAAAUGCACGCCGGGCUCCAUUUCCCUGAAGGCAGCGGCGUUGGCUCCCUGGCAAACCCCCGCCUAUGGCUCCAGGAGGCCUCUGCCCCCGCGCCGUCUUCCUGCUGAGGUUUGCUCACCCCAGGCACCCUGGAGGACAGCAAGAGCCGCUCGGAUGCCUUCGAGCAGAGGUGGCGACACCGUGCCCUGUGGCCACCCCACAGCCCUGAGCUCAGGCACCCCUGCCCCAGCUUGGCAGCGGGGGAAGGACCUUCCUGAGGUGUCCUGGUGGAUCUGCGGGGCGUGGGGUGAGAAAGCUGCUGGCACCGGUGCUCUGCACGGUCCUCGUCCCAGGAGGGCAGCUGCGCUUAAGGGAAUAUUGAUUAAAUAUUCAUAUACUUCAGGCGCAUGACUCAUGACAACCAGGAGCCUAGGAACCUCAGCUUUCAGUUUGGUUGUCAGAAAAGAUAGUCUUCACCUUCCAGAGAACCUGCCUUUCUCCAUGGCCUCUGUAUAGGCUUGGUGAUAUGGUUCUUUGAAGUGGUGACAGAGGUGAGAUGAGCAAGGAGGUAGGACGUGUCGUGCCCCAGUGUCGUGCGGUGAGACCAUUUUUGAGGAGGAAGAUAGGGGCUGAGAAACGUGACAUUCGUGCUGGAUCUCCACGGGCUCCGGAGUUUCUCUCGUGAAUGCAAACGAGAAGCACUUUGGCCAAGUACUGGGAUGAUGCCCGCAGAGGCUGCUGCAGGAGCUGGAAGGGCUUGGGAAGCUGUUGCAGCUCGUGACCAGGUAAUGAGGACAGCAACGUGCAGCAGAAAGUUUA